UAACAAAGAAUAAAGUGAGAGAUUCUUACCCGAAUCGGUGUCUGAAAUAUAAAACUUCUGCUGCGCUUACAGGCGGUCUCUAAGUUUCUUAAAUUUUUCUGCUGAGAUUGAAAUACGCUCUACGUACUUAAAAAUACUCCAAAAAUUCAAAAUCGGUGUUAAAACCUUUCUUCGACCAAUUUUGGAAUUCUGGCACGGCGGCACCACCAUGCUCCAGCGACGGCACCACCCUCUGCGGUAGCGAUUUGCCUCAGCCUGACCAUUUUCGGCUGGUUCUUACUGGUUUCAGCCAGUUUUAUACCCAUCCCUGUGAGAAAAUACGUUAUGGGGCAUCAGUUGACCGAAAAAACUCAAAAAAUAGAAACCAACCGGCAGUGAAAUUUUUCAGUGCGAUGGCACUGCCGGCUCAGCAUCGCGGCUGGAUAUUUU
rnacentral:lncRNA from 1 species